rnacentral:rRNA from 1 species
AACGAACGCUGGCGGCAUGCCUAACACAUGCAAGUCGAACGAGACCUUCGGGACUUGUGGCGACUGGGUGCGUAACGCGUGGGAACCUGCCCUUAGGUUCGGCAUAACUCUCCGAAAGGGGUGCUAAUACCGGAUAAUGUCUUCGGACCAAAGAUUUAUUGACUUUGGAUGGACCCGCGUUGGAUUAGCUAGUUGGUAGGGUAAUAGCCUACCACGGCGACGAUCCAUAGCUGGUCAGAGAGGAUGAUCAGCCACACUGGGACGGAGACACGGCCCAGACUCCUACGGGAGGCAGCAGAGGGGAAUAUUGGACAAUGGGCGAAGGCCUGAUCCAGCAAGGCCGCGUAAGUGAUGAAGGUCGUGGGGUUGUAAAGCUCUUUUACCCGGGAUGAUAAUGACAGUACCGGGAGAAUAAGCUCCGGCUAACUCCGUG